AAACAAUAGCACAAUGCAUUUCAAUUUCGGCUUGAAAAGAGGUUUCUAACCAUUGUUUA
rnacentral:tRNA from 1 species